rnacentral:tRNA from 1 species
UGCGGAGUGGCUCGAACGGUAAGGCGCCGGCCUCAUAAGCCGGAACAUGCGGGUUCGACUCCCGCCUCCGCCACCA